CAUAUGUUGUAGUAGGCGUCUUGCGGGGGCACGGGAUGUACGGGACAGGCCUCUCCCUAAACAUAGAGAGAUAGUGCUAUCGUGCUGACCUUGUUGCAGAGAAAACAGGAGAAGAAGAAGGAUGAUAAAAGAAUGUGGAAAUGGCCAAAUAAGGCACAAUGUUAUCUGGUGUGAACUAAUCAGAGUGGGACAUGACAGCACGGUUAUCUAGGUAAAAAUGUAUAUAAGCUGUGUUUAGUAGUGAAUAAACGCCAUUUGCCUCACUUACUCCUGGGGUCUGGGUGAGCAUCUGGCCCCGACCUGGUAAAGGGUCGGUUUCGCCCAGCAGUAAGCCCUACAUGUGGACAGAGGACGAACACCGGACGAGCGAACGGAGACUACAUGCAACAAGUGGUGACCCCGACGUGAUCUGUCUGCUGAGGGUGGCUGCCCGGCGUACCCGUGACGCGGAGAAGAGCCUGUGAGGUGGCGGCAGGUCGCAUACGUAACAAUGGACCAAGUCAUUAAGACCGAAGCCAACUCCAGAACAACUGAGGGACAGACGAUGGGAUCAAGAACCACUCGUCAAGAGGAGCACUACACCUGCAACGCUGACACUUCCAAUGUUGCUGAUAUUUAUGGUGUCCAUGGCGAUUACAGAGUGUCACAAACAACUACAAUGGACGCAAGAACAUAUGCAGAAGAUUAAAGUGAUCCCUUUGGAAGCUGGCUGGACGGACUGUUUGGGGGAACGGGUUCACGGUUAAAGCAAUUGCUUAAAGCUCUCGCAGUAGGAUUUGCAAUCUUUGUGUGUAUUCUAAUCUGUCUUCCAUGCUUUGUAGGAUGCUUGCAGAACUGCCUUCAACGAAUGAUGGACAAGACUUUUGACUAUCACAUUGAGUAUCAUAGAUUGCGUGAAAAAUUAUAGAGGGGCUUAGGUUGUUGCGUUCGUGCUGUAACGGGGCAAGGCUUGGCCGAGCACGGAAAAGAAUUCCCUGUUGCUCUGAUGAUUGCUUAAGAACUGUAGUAGAAAAUAGUAGGAAUAGUGUGCUGAAAUAUAUUUAGGAUUAGGCGUUUUGCGCUGCUUCGCGAUGUACGGGUUAGGUGUGUGUGUAAGUAGUAUUUAGCUUAGGGAGGGGGAGAUGUUGUAGUAGGCGUCUUGCGGGGGCACGGGAUGUACGGGACAGGCCUCUCCCUAAACAUAGAGAGAUAGUGCUAUCGUGCUGACCUUGUUGCAGAGAAAACAGGAGAAGAAGAAGGAUGAUAAAAGAAUGUGGAAAUGGCCAAAUAAGGCACAAUGUUAUCUGGUGUGAACUAAUCAGAGUGGGACAUGACAGCACGGUUAUCUAGGUAAAAAUGUAUAUAAGCUGUGUUUAGUAGUGAAUAAACGCCAUUUGCCUCACUUACUCCUGGGGUCUGGGUGAGCAUCUGGCCCCGACCUGGUAAAGGGUCGGUUUCGCCCAGCAGUAAGCCCUACAUGUGGACAGAGGACGAACACCGGACGAGCGAACGGAGACUACAUGCAACAUACAUAGGAGGCAUUACUUUCAGAGUGACCUACAUUUGUAUCCACGAUGCAGUUACUCACCACCCAGAUGACACAACUGCUUGCUGACUGACACCCAGCUAGUAAUACAACAACUCACCACCCACCCAACUCCCCCCCAACAGCCCCCAGCCACACCAUACACAGCUCUAUAGUCUUCUGCAUGAUGUCAGGUGGUAUGGAAUAACCCCUACCCUAAUUCAGAACAGCUGCUCUAGCUCCACCACACUCCCUGCUGCCAUGCCGUAAAGGUAGUGGCUCUUUCUUGCUGAGCAGCAUGGACCGGUCCAGCCUUUGGAGCAAUCCCAUUGUUCAGUAAUAACCAAAACAUCUCUCAACUGAAAUCUGGGCAUCUCUGAUUUCUAAUUAUCAAAGCUCUUUCCUGUUAUUUGACACCUUCCCAAGUUUACAUCGAGUCAUAGAGAAGCAAACCAGAUGGCCUGUCUGGAGCUAGUCAAAUCCCUUUUUAGCCUGCAGUGGUGUUCAGCAGUAUUUGAUGGGAGAAGGCUGGGUAUCUCUGGCUUAGAAACAGCUUCUGAGGGAAGGCUGAGGGAAACACCGGCAGAAUGGCUUCCUUUCCUAACGCAUGCACCAUUGCAUGCUUAAGAUGAGAAACUGUUAGUAAUCUAGGUACUUUUUGGAAGAAUAAAGGUCAUCAGAUUGUAGUAAGAGGGAGAUGAAAACUCAGGAUAAAUCCCGUUUUGUGUGUAGACCAGUUGCAGUGAAGAUGCCAACAUCAGAGAGAGUACACAAGGAAAAAG
rnacentral:lncRNA from 1 species